AACGAACGCUGGCGGCAUGCCUAACACAUGCAAGUCGAACGAGACCUUCGGGUCUAGUGGCGCACGGGUGCGUAACGCGUGGGAACCUGCCUUUAGGUUCGGAAUAACUCAGAGAAAUUUGAGCUAAUACCGGAUAAUGUCUUCGGACCAAAGAUUUAUCGCCUUUAGAUGGGCCCGCGUUGAAUUAGCUAGUUGGUGGGGUAAAGGCCUACCAAGGCGACGAUCCAUAGCUGGUCUGAGAGGAUGAUCAGCCACACUGGGACUGAGACACGGCCCAGACUCCUACGGGAGGCAGCAGUGGGGAAUAUUGGACAAUGGCGAAAGACCUGAUCCAGCAAUGCCGCGUGAGUGAUGAAGGCCCUUAGGGUUGUAAAGACUCUUUACCUAGGGAAGUGAUAAUAGACAAGUACC
rnacentral:rRNA from 1 species